rnacentral:rRNA from 1 species
UGAAAUCUGGCCGUCCUGCGGUCCGAGUUGUAAUUUGUAGAGGAUGCUUCGGGUGCGGCGCCAGUCUAAGUUCCUUGGAACAGGACGUCAUAGAGGGUGAGAAUCCCGUACGGGACCGGCGACCCAGCCCGUGUGAAGCUCCUUCGACGAGUCGAGUUGUUUGGGAAUGCAGCUCUAAAUGGGUGGUAAAUUUCAUCUAAAGCUAAAUACCGGCCAGAGACCGAUAGCGCACAAGUAGAGUGAUCGAAAGAUGAAAAGCACUUUGGAAAGAGAGUUAAAAAGUACGUGAAAUUGUUGAAAGGGAAGCGCUUGCAACCAGACUUGCUUGCGGGUGAUCAGCCGUCCUUCUGGGCGGUGCACUCGCCCGCGAUCAGGCCAGCAUCGGUUCGGGCGGCUGGAUAAAGGCCCCGGGAAUGUGGCUCCCUCCGGGGAGUGUUAUAGCCCGGGGUGCAAUGCGGCCAGUCCGGACCGAGGACCGCGCUUCGGCUAGGAUGCUGGCGUAAUGGUUGUAAGCGACCCGUCUUGAAACACGGACCAAGGAGUCUAACAUCUAUGCGAGUGUUUGGGUGUCAAACCCAUGCGCGCAAUGAAAGUGAACGGAGGUGGGAACCCUCAAGGGUGCACCAUCGACCGAUCCUGAUGUCUUCGGAUGGAUUUGAGUAAGAGCAUAGCUGUUGGGACCCGAAAGAUGGUGAACUAUGCCUGAAUAGGGUGAAGCCAGAGGAAACUCUGGUGGAGGCUCGCAGCGGUUCUGACGUGCAAAUCGAUCGUCAAAUUUGGGUAUAGGGGCGAAAGACUAAUCGAACCAUCU